CUUGCGACAAGUAGGGCGGGGCACGUGAAACCCUGUCUGAACAUGGGGGGACCAUCCUCCAAGGCUAAAUACUCGAUAUCGACCGAUAGUGAACCAGUACCGUGAGGGAAAGGCGAAAAGAACCCCGGAAGGGGAGUGAAAUAGAUCCUGAAACCGUGUGCAUACAAACAGUCGGAGCCCUGAAAGGGGUGACGGCGUACCUUUUGUAUAAUGGGUCAGCGACUUACAUUCAGUGGCAAGCUUAACCGAGUAGGGAAGGCGAAGCGAAAGCGAGUCCGAACAGGGCGUCUAGUCGCUGGGUGUAGACCCGAAACCAGAUGAUCUAUCCAUGGCCAGGAUGAAGGUGCCGUAACAGGUACUGGAGGUCCGAACCCACUAGUGUUGAAAAACUAGGGGAUGAGCUGUGGAUAGGGGUGAAAGGCUAAACAAAUCUGGAAAUAGCUGGUUCUCUCCGAAAACUAUUUAGGUAGUGCCUCACGUAUCACCACCGGGGGUAGAGCACUGUUAUGGCUAGGGGGUCAUCGCGACUUACCAACCCAUUGCAAACUCCGAAUACCGGUGAGUGCGAGCGUGGGAGACAGACGUCGGGUGCUAACGUCCGGCGUCAAGAGGGAAACAACCCAGACCGCCAGCUAAGGUCCCCAAGAUUGGCUAAGUGGAAAACGAAGUGGGAAGGCUAAAACAGUCAGGAGGUUGGCUUAGAAGCAGCCAUCCUUUAAAGAAAGCGUAAUAGCUCACUGAUCGAGUCGUCCUGCGCGGAAGAUGUAACGGGGCUAAGCCAGUCACCGAAGCUGCGGAUAUGUGCUUUGCACAUAUGGUAGGAGAGCGUUCUGUAAGCCUGCGAAGGUGUCUUGUAAAGGAUGCUGGAGGUAUCAGAAGUGCGAAUGCUGACAUGAGUAGCGAUAAUGCGGGUGAAAAGCCCGCACGCCGUAAGCCCAAGGUUUCCUGUUCAACGUUCAUCGGAGCAGGGUGAGUCGGCCCCUAAGGCGAGGCAGAGAUGCGUAGCUGAUGGGAAGCAGGUUAAUAUUCCUGCACCGUCGUUAGAUGCGAUGGGGGGACGGAUCGCGGAAGGUUGUCCGGGUGUUGGAUGUCCCGGUUUCUGUAUCGAAGAUGGCGCCUUGGCAAAUCCGGGCGC
rnacentral:rRNA from 1 species